CCUUGAAAUACCACCCUUUAAUGUUUGAUGUUCUAACGUUGGCCCCUGAUCGGGGUUGCGGACAGUGUCUGGUGGGUAGUUUGACUGGGGCGGUCUCCUCCUAAAGAGUAACGGAGGAGCACGAAGGUUGGCUAAUCCUGGUCGGACAUCAGGAGGUUAGUGCAAUGGCAUAAGCCAGCUUGACUGCGAGCGUGACGGCGCGAGCAGGUGCGAAAGCAGGUCAUAGUGAUCCGGUGGUUCUGAAUGGAAGGGCCAUCGCUCAACGGAUAAAAGGUACUCCGGGGAUAACAGGCUGAUACCGCCCAAGAGUUCAUAUCGACGGCGGUGUUUGGCACCUCGAUGUCGGCUCAUCACAUCCUGGGGCUGAAGUAGGUCCCAAGGGUAUGGCUGUUCGCCAUUUAAAGUGGUACGCGAGCUGGGUUUAGAACGUCGUGAGACAGUUCGGUCCCUAUCUGCCGUGGGCGCUGGAGAACUGAGGGGGGCUGCUCCUAGUACGAGAGGACCGGAGUGGACGCAUCACUGGUGUUCGGGUUGUCAUGCCAAUGGCACUGCCCGGUAGCUAAAUGCGGAAGAGAUAAGUGCUGAAAGCAUCUAAGCACGAAACUUGCCCCGAGAUGAGUUCUCCCUGACUCCUUGAGAGUCCUGAAGGAACGUUGAAGACGACGACGUUGAUAGGCCGGGUGUGUAAGCGCAGCGAUGCGUUGAGCUAACCGGUACUAAUGAACCGUGAGGCUUAACCUU
rnacentral:rRNA from 1 species